AACGAACGCUGGCGGCAUGCCUAACACAUGCAAGUCGAACGAACCCUUCGGGGUUAGUGGCGCACGGGUGCGUAACGCGUGGGAAUCUGCCCUUUGCUUCGGAAUAACUCAGGGAAACUUGUGCUAAUACCGGAUGAUGUCUUCGGACCAAAGAUUUAUCGGCAAGGGAUGAGCCCGCGUAGGAUUAGGUAGUUGGUGGGGUAAAGGCCUACCAAGCCGACGAUCCUUAGCUGGUCUGAGAGGAUGACCAGCCACACUGGGACUGAGACACGGCCCAGACUCCUACGGGAGGCAGCAGUGGGGAGUAUUGGGCAAUGGGCGCAAGCCUGAUCCAGCAAUGCCGCGUGAGUGAUGAAGGCCCUCGGGUCGUAAAGCUCUUUUACCAGGGAUGAUAAUGACAGUACCUGGAGAAUAAGCUCCGGCUAACUCCGUG
rnacentral:rRNA from 1 species